ACCCUCCUUACUCACCAGAUCUAAAUAUUAGUCUAAUGGUUAUAAAAGGAGGAAGAGUAAAAUUGAAACUGAAUUCAAUUUUUUUGUGACAUAUGAGCUAGUUUCAAACAAAA
rnacentral:snoRNA from 1 species